rnacentral:rRNA from 1 species
UACGUAGGGUGCGAGCGUUAAUCGGAAUUACUGGGCGUAAAGCGUGCGCAGGCGGUUGGCAAAGUCAGCUGUGAAAGCCCCCGGGCUUAACCUGGGAAUGGCGGUUGAAACUAGUCGACUCGAAUCUGGCAGAGGGGGGUGGAAUUCCGACGGUGUAGCAGGUGAAAUGCGUAGAGAGUGUGGAGGAACACCGAUGGCGAAGGCAGCCCCCUGGGCUGAGAUU